CCGAGGGGCAGAGCCCGCGCCGAGCCUUCCCUGCUGGCGCUCUCCGCAGCUGCUGGAGGACGAGAGCCGAGCGGCCGAACACGUGCGCUGGGCCCUGCCGUGCCUGCAGAGCCCACAGAGGAGCCUGCGAGAAGCGGCCGUCAGGUUCAUCGGGGUCGCCGGGGUGCUCACGAUGGGGCACAAGGAGGAGCUCCAGGUCCUGAGCGAGGCCCUUCAAGCCCUCAGGGAAGAUGAGAGCCCCUCCUUAAUGAGCCAGGUUGUCCAGCAGACCUUUGACAGAAGAUCUGCUCAACUUCGUCUGCUGGAUCAGUUGAACCAGUGUCCUUCGGCGACCUCCAGUUCCCAUUGAAGAUGGGAGCACCUGCAGAGCAGAGGGGACCAGCUCCAGCUCCAGAUACAGCUGAUGCUGCUGGUCCCAGCUGAACCUGUUGGAAGCUCCAGCAGCUCCUGCAUCUCUCUCCUGUUGGCAGCUCCCUCCCUCCAGCCCUUGGGCCCUGCCCAUCCCUUUUUUUCCAUCCCAGCUCACCCCUUCGCUUUGCCUUCCCCUA